AGAAAAUGCAGGUAAAUGAGAAAACAAAACAGAUAAAGUUCCUGCAGAGGGAACAGGAAAUGAGUGAAAAGGAUUUACGACUACCCGUCUUCUCUCAGACUCUGCUCCUGGGAUGUAACAUUCAUUGCUUGCUAUGUCUAUACCUCACUACAUGCAAUGCACCUUUAGAAGACUGUCUCCUUACUCCAUAAUGGAAUUUGUCUCUGACCUAUUGCAGCUAUGAGAUAAGCAUUACCUGCCCCAGAGGCUACCUGCCACUCAGUGAAGAUCAUAUGCCUAAGUCAUGACAUCAACAUCAAACUCUCUUCAAAUCUGGGAGAAAGGCUCAGCUCUUACAACCAGGACAAGAAGAAAUGACACCAGUAGAGAGAUCAUUUGGUGAGCAGCAGGGUUGAAAGAGCCUCAAACCAUGGAGAGAGAGCCUGGAUCUCGAGUAGAAAGGCUUCUGGCACUGAAGAAGUCAAACAGGAUCCCUGAGAGGGAAAAAGCCAGGAGCUUGGGGAAUUAUCUUCACCAAGGUCUGUCUAGAGAUGUGGUUGGCAGAUUUAUGACCCCCAAAGAUGUCUACAUCCUAAACCCAGGAAUCUGUGAGUAUGUUACCUUACAUGCAAAAGGGACUUUGCAGAAGAGAUUAAUACCUUGAGAUGGGAAUAUUAUUCUGGAUUAUCUGGGUGGGUCAGAUUUAAUCUUACAAUUCCUUUAAAGUGAAAGACAAGGAAGAGGCAGGGUGAAUCUGAGCAAUGUGAGAAGAACGUGCUGACUUUGAAGAAUGAGGAAGUAGAUCAUGAGCCAAAGACUGCAGUAGCCUCUAGAACCUGGGGACUGCCAGCAGCUUACAGCCAGCGAGAACACAGGGACCCAGGGCUGCAACAGCAAAGAAUGGAAUUCUGUCAAUAACCAAAUGGGCAAGGAAACAGACUCUUUCUUAGAGUAUCCCAAAAUAAAGGCAGCCCCAUGCACACCUUUAUUUUAGCUCAGGAAUACCUGUGUCAGAUUUCUGACCUACAGAACUGUAAGACACUAAGUUUGUGUUGUAUUAGCAGCUGAAAUUGUUGCAUUUUGUUACAGUAGCAAUGGAAAACUAAUACAAGAGGGUAAGCUAAGUUGGUUUGCAAAUUUGUAGAUGCACUGACUGAAUGCCAGCAAUUGAUACACCAAAGUUAAUAAAAUUCUGGGACUUUUAUCAAAACCAAGGCAAAGAGGAUAGCAUGAGCUACAAAUGCUAAUUGGGUGGUAAAACAUCCUUAACUUUACCUUCAGUCUUAUUUGUCUUUACUGAAACAUAGUAAGGGAAGAUGGGCAGGUCUGUGCAAGGACAGUGGCCCAGUCACUUAGGAGAGACAGUUAGUGCUUACAUACCUGUGGGACCUGCAUAGGGUCUCACUCAGAGUUUGAAGCAAAUAUCAGAAAAUGUCAUCCUUAAAAUUUAAGAAAGAGAAGAGAAUUAAUUAUCACAUUUAUUCCACAAAGGUGCAGAUACUGUACAAGGUGGCUUAUGAAUAUCAUCUUAUUUAAUCUUCACAGCAAUACCAGAAAACCAGGACUACUUUGUCCAUUCUAUCUACUGCAGAGAAAAUGAGACUCGGGAAGAUCCAGUAACUUCCCAGAGGCUACAGGGAAAAUAAGAUCUGCCUGAUUUCAAAGUGGUCAAGGGUGAAAUUAAUGGAUUUAACAAACAAAGCAAACAAACAAAUUUUCCUUAAAAGGCAUCCAAAAAUCUUUAUCCUGAAUUUAUGAGCACCAAACACCUUUCCAGGAUGUAAUUUUACCUGCUUUAGGAAACUGAUGUCCUGCCAGGUUUACUGCUGCCGUAAGUGAAUAACACUAUUUAGUGGUACCUAAUGCAUGCCAAGCAGAGAUUUGUGUUUGACCUAUUAUUCCCCAUUCUCACAAUAAUUAUAUUAGGUAGGUAAUCUCUCCAUUUUCCAAAUGAGGAAACUAAAAUUCAUAAAGAAUAAAGCCUUUCCCAAAGUUAAUAAACUAAUAAAUGGCAAUGCCAACAUUUCAAUUCUUGACUGUCUGAUGCAAACAUAUGUUACCUCCAGAGUUGGGGACCUAUGAGUCUGGCUAGUGUGAACUUCCUCUAUACAACCUCUGAACUCUGGAAGGACUGACAGAUUCAACUGACAAAUUCAACAUCUGUCACUCACAUCUGCUGUGAUGACCACACACCAAGGUUCAUUCAACCAUUCUGUAAAGUCCUAUUGGAAAGAAUCAGGCAAUCAAGAUUCCUAUCACCUCACCUUCCACAAGAUGGGGGGAAAAGUUGUGUCCUUGAGAUUUCUAUGGAGAGCUGUGGAGAGAAAAGCAAAUAGACCAAUCCAUUAGGUAAUUAAAUUAGUCAUUUCAUUCACCAGACUUAAUGGAUAGACGGUCCAAACUCAGUUGAUGCAAACAUUAACACAGUAAUCUGAGCUUCCUCGAUGCACACAGCAGGUGUUAUGUACCAUCUUUGAAUACAAGGGAAAUAUUACAUGACUACAUAAAACAUGUAGCAUUCUGUUUCCAGAACCAGAGUUCUCUCUGCCAACUACUAAAAUCCUGCUAAUUGAUACACUGUGGUUUUUGGCCAGCCAGGGUCUUAUUUCCAUAAUGUCAGUUGGUGGUUUAGUACAUUUUUUUUUAUGGUUUGCUUGCACUGCUAACUCUGGGUAUAAAGCCAAUUCAUCCACGAGAACAUUCAACAUAAAUUUUUGACCACCUAGCAGUGGCAUUUAAGCCUCUGUGAUGAUUUCAGACAUAGAGGCCAAUUAUUUUGUGCUAAUUAUUUUGUGGUAUUUGCUUAUUACUGUUAAAAAAAAUCUGUAGGAAUACAGCUGGAUUUAACCUCUGAGCAAACUCCUAAGC